rnacentral:rRNA from 1 species
UGGGGAAUUUUGGACAAUGGGCGCAAGCCUGAUCCAGCAAUGCCGCGUGAGUGAAGAAGGCCCUCGGGUUGUAAAGCUCUUUUGUCAGGGAAGAAAAGGUGAUCUCUAAUGCAGGUCACUCAUGACAGUACCUGAAGAAUAAGCACCGGCUAACUACGUGCCAGCAGCCGCGGUAAUACGUAGGGUGCAAGCGUUAAUCGGAAUUACUGGGCGUAAAGCGUGCGCAGGCGGUUAUAUAAGUCAGAUGUGAAAUCCCCGGGCUCAACCUGGGAACUGCAUUUGAGACUGUAUGGCUAGAGUGUGUCAGAGGGGGGUAGAAUUCCACGUGUAGCAGUGAAAUGCGUAGAUAUGUGGAGGAAUACCGAUGGCGAAGGCAGCCCCCUGGGAUAACACUGACGCUCAUGCACGAAAGCGUGGGGAGCAAACA